ensembl:lncRNA
GCCCAAUGGCACAGCAGUUAAGUGUGCAUGUUCUGCUUUGGUGGCCCAGGGUUUGCUGGUCCGGAUCCCAGGUGCGGACAUGGCACCACUUGGCAAGCCGUGCUGUGUGUGACUUGACAAUCCUCCAUUGAGAGAUGGGUCUAUGCUCCCAACCCUUGAACCUGAAUGGGCUUUUGUAACUGCCUCAACCAACAGUAUGGUAGAAUGACGCUGUGUGACUUCUAAGGCUGGGUCAUAAAAGGGCUGCAGUGAGAAACAGGACCGUGACCUAGUGGAGAGCAUGGGCUCCAGAGUCAGGUGGGCCUGGGUUCAAAUCUUACUUGUGAUACUUACCUGGAUAUAUUGGGUUUACUCAGAAGUUGUUUAUUUGAAGAAGACACAUUUAUUUGGUCUGGAGAAAGAAAAUCUGGCUGAGGUGAAAAUCCCUGAGCUGGCUCCAAGGCUCCCUGAAAGGAACAGCAAGUGUAUCAUCAGAUAACCGCCACCCAGCGAUCCCCUGGGAGCGCCCCUUGACCUUUUACCAAAGAUGGACCCACUACAUUCAAGGUCUCUUAUUCCCCCAGCAGUGCUGUUCUAGGUUAAUGCUAUUUUGGGAGCGUGGUUCUUCAUUUCAGUGUGAAUUUCCUCAUCUUUCCGCACAAAUUGAGUGAAAUCCUUAGUGCAUUUUUCUCUUAGAUGGAUGGAGGCUAAAAGAGAAUGGAAGGCCUCCAGCUGUUUGAGGCUCUGUCCUCAACGACAAUCAAAAUUCUCCAUCUUUUCUUGUUCUUGGCACUUUCUGAUUGAAAUAAGAUUCCAGCAUUUAUCUGCACCUGCAAUUUUGACAAGAAAGGAAAAUUUAAAAGACAAGUGAAAGAAUUCUCUGAGGGAAGUCAAUGAGUCGACAGUAGUCAGACGCCUGCGAAUCUCUUUUUGCAUUCCUCCGUCAAUUAAGCUACAGUCACAUAUUGGAGAGCAGAACUUAAGUCUGUGAGUAGAAAUGCAAAAAUGUGCGUGGAUCAGUAGCGGGAACCUUCCUUUGGAGUGAAUAUUACUUGGAGAGCAGCUGAUGAUCAUUGGCGUUGAAACGGAGAGAAUUUCGAGUCAGAGGGUACUUUAAAUUAUAGAUUUGAGUUUAGUUGAAGGUCAAACUUACCUUGCAUGAAUAAAAUCUUCAGAGAUUUUGAAAUAUACUCGGAAAAUGCAGGCUAUCUUGAGCACAUAAGCAUUUCCUUCAGGGGAUAAAAGCAGUUUAAUAUUAUUGCCCUCUGCAUAAUUAUUGAUCAUAUUAGCAUAGAAGAUACUGAAAAGAAAGUCAGAAUAACAGUCUGAUGGCCACGUUGAUUCUCAGCAACUACAACCACGAGUUUAGACAGGAAGUUGCCUGGAGACCUGGAAGAUUGUUCAGGGAAUUUGGUAGUGGCCAGUAGGUUCAUUUUGGCCUAACAAAUGGUACCAAAAUGACCCUCUGAGAGGUGAAAGGGUAUUUAGCUAAUGCCAUACGACAUAAAUAAUCUCCCAUCUCCAGGAAUUUGGGAACCAUCUGUGGGAUCAUAAUGUUGAUUUGGUUAUCUGGAUGCAUAUGUCAUCUGACUCAAAGCUUCCUGGCAGCCGAGAUGAAGAGGGAAAUGUAGUGAGUUACAAACUUACCAUUUGGGAGGGAGAAAUGUACUCAGCUCACAAAGGAAACUGGGACAUUCACAAGGAGGCAUUCUAAACAUUAAAACUAUCUGGUUCAUGGCUCUGUGAUUCUUUCCAAAAGCUACUGGUUCACCAUACCAAUUAAUGAUUAGGAUUUAGGAAAGUGUAAACGCACUGCAGAGGUUUGCGAACCUGUUUUAAUAUGAAUUAACUUCUUUUCCCAGCUCCUCCCCCAAUGCUAAUCUAAAGCCUGUGUUUUUCUAUGACUUGCUGAGUUAAUUGGAUUACAGAGAUAAUCCUUCUCCCAUAAAAAGUAAUCUCUGCAGGUUUUGGGAUCUACAUUCUGCUGCAUUUUGUAGGAUUAUCUCUCAAAGGCAACAGAUUAGAAGCGCUGGUUGGUGCAAAUAAACUGAAAUUUGUGCUGUAAUCCCCUCCAGUGAAGAUGGGGCCUGGGGAGGCUUCA